CAAUAGCGUAUAUUUAAGUUGUUGCAGUUAAAAAGCUCGUAGUUGGAUUUCGGUUAAGAGCGACCGGUCCGCCGUUUGGUGUGCACUGGUUGGUUUUAACUUCCUGUAGAGGACGUGCUCUGGGUUUAACGACCUGGACUCGGAGUCUACGUGGUUACUUUGAAAAAAUUAGAGUGUUCAAAGCGGGCUUACGCUUGAAUAUUUCAGCAUGGAAUAACACUAUAGGACUCCUGUCCUAUUUCGUUGGUCUCGGGACGGGAGUAAUGAUUAAGAGGAACAGUUGGGGGCAUUCGUAUUUCAUUGUCAGAGGUGAAAUUCUUGGAUUUAUGAAAGACGAACUUCUGCGAAAGCAUCUGCCAAGGAUGUUUUCAUUA
rnacentral:rRNA from 1 species